CUACGUAGGGUGCAAGCGUUAAUCGGAAUUACUGGGCGUAAAGCGUGCGCAGGCGGUUUUGUAAGACAGAGGUGAAAUCCCCGGGCUCAACCUGGGAACUUCCUUUGUGACUGCAAGGGUAGCGUAAGGCAGAGGGGGGUGGAAUUACGCGUGUAGCAGUGAAAUGCGUAGAUAUGCGGAGGAACACCGAUGGCGAAGGCAAUCCCCUGGGCCUGUACUGACGCUCAUGCACGAAAGCGUGGGGAGCAAACAGGAUUAGAUACCCUGGUAGUCCACGCCCUAAACGAUGUCAACUGGUUGUUGGGUCUUCAUUGACUCAGUAACGAAGCUAACGCGUGAAGUUGACCGCCUGGGGAGUACGGCCGCAAGGUUGAAACUCAAAUGAAUUGACGGGG
rnacentral:rRNA from 1 species